AUUGAACGCUGGCGGCAGGCCUAACACAUGCAAGUCGAGCGGAUGAAGGGAGCUUGCUCCUGGAUUCAGCGGCGGACGGGUGAGUAAUGCCUAGGAAUCUGCCUGGUAGUGGGGGAUAACGUCCGGAAACGGGCGCUAAUACCGCAUACGUCCUGAGGGAGCAAGUGGGGGAUCUUCGGACCUCACGCUAUCAGAUGAGCCUAGGUCGGAUUAGCUAGUUGGUGGGGUAAAGGCCUACCAAGGCGACGAUCCGUAACUGGUCUGAGAGGAUGAUCAGUCACACUGGAACGGGGACACGGUCCAGACUCCUGCGGGAGGCAGCAGUGGGGAAUAUUGGACAAUGGGCGAAAGCCUUAUCCAGCCAUGCCGCGUGUGUGAAGAAGGUCUUCGGAUUGUAAAGCACUUUAAGUUGGGAGGAAGGGCAGUAAGUUAAUACCUUGCUGUUUUGACGUUACCAACAGAAUAAGCACCGGCUAACUUCGUG
rnacentral:rRNA from 1 species